UUUCUUGCAUAUUCUUGCAUAUGAAUCUAGAGGAUUAACAGUUGAGAUAUUUAAAUGAAGUCAUCUACUAAUAUAAAAUAGUAUAAAUCCUCAAAUUCUUAAAAUAAAAAGGUCAUUUUUAGAUCCUUCCUCUUCUGUAAGUUCAUAACUAAUUAAAGAGUUGACAUGUAACUAAGGAUGUCUAUUUUAUCGGGGUUACAUUUGUGCGGAUAUUUUGUGUUGUAUUAAUAAAUGAAAACUGUUUUUUGUCGCUCUUGGUUUUUUAGUGUAUAUACACUGACAUUUCAAUUGCUUCUGUUACCAACUUGGACUCGUAUAAACUCUGAUUAGAGGGUAAUUGGUCCCGGCAAAAACAUACACCAAAACCCUUGCUACUCCUCCUCUGGCAUUUGGGACAAUCCCAAAAAUGUCCGACGAAGCACUUGAUCAUAUGAGACUUGGUGCACUGGAACCAGUCAAUUGUGGUAACAGACUCACUAACGAUGGUUAACGACAAAAAAAUCAAUACGGCAGUAAAAACCAGAAAACAAUACAACGCCAACUCUUCCUUGUACUCUCCACCAGAACCCAGCCUCCAUCUCCUGCGCUCCCGAGAUCAGAUCCAUCACCGUCGAAAAGCUGACGAUCGCCGUCAGAUCCACCGCCCGACGUCGACCGCCGAAGCUAAUCUCGACAAUAGACUUUGAGGACGAUCUCGAUGCAAAGGACUUUGACGGCGAGGGUUGGGGAGUGGAAGAAGGAGUCAUUGAGAGGUGGUGGUGGUGGUUGUCGUCGUCGCACGUCGUCGGAAAAAAGAGCUCCGACUAGAGGCUAUGGUAUCAGCGGCUUUCGGGUCUAGUAGCGCUGCCAGCGACUACCAGUUGGUAGUCGAUGUGGGAGACUGGUAUGCGAGAGACUAGAGAGAGAGAGAGGGAUUAGAUCUAGGAAAGAAAUACAAAAGUGGGGAGAAAGAGAUGAGAGAUUGAGAAAGGAACGGCNGUUUUGUUAGAAAAUAGAGAAAAAUUAAAUAUUAAGCUAGUGGGAAUCAAACAGUUAGUGUGUAGGGUUAUAGAAAAUUUUAAAAUAUCAUUUUGUUGAUGGGAAAAAAAUCCCAUACUAACUGGGCGGAUGGGAAAAAACUCUUAAUUUAUGGAGGUUUUACAUUAAUAUAUAUAUAUAUAUAUGUAUUAUUGGUGUUUAAGGGAAACAUGUAUGUAAUUAACUUAAAUAAGUAUUAACCGUAUUUAUCUAGGAAUGAGGAUCUACAAGCUAGGCCGAUUUUUUUUUUUUUUUUUCAAAAUAAGCAUAAUAAUUAAGUACAGAGAAAAUAUACGCACUACCAGAAGAAAGGCUCUAACCGACAAAAAUAAAAAAAUCAGGUUGACAAAUUAUUUUUUCGUCGGCUAAUUUAAAAUUUCGUCGGCUAUGGUCAACUUUAGCCGACGACAUUUUAAUUUCGUCGGCUAAAGAAUUUUUUUCGUCGGCUAUAGUCUAUAAACUUUAGCCGACGAAAAAAUAAAAGUUUAGCCAACGACAUUUUAAUUUCGUCGGCUAAAGUUCCUUAUAUUUGCAGAUCUGGACAGCAGCUCAUCUGGGAAAAAAAAAUGGGAGAAAAAGUUUGGGUGUUGUCGAAAUCUGUCCAUAAUUAGUUUGCGAUUGACAGAGUAUGACAGCACCUGAAGAGUAACGGGUUUUGGGAGAAGUACAAAUGUUGGUUAUAUCACGGUGAAACAUCAUCAGGGGGUCCGCAUGAUCAUGACCAAUUUUCUGAGACGGGCAGUACAUCCAACGAUCCAACAACAGCCUUCAUCAACGACAUGUUUCCUUAUGAGAGCAGUGUAUGCGCUCAAGGACAGUAUAUGCCUGAGCCGGUGCAGCCCUUCCCUAGAGCUGUCAACACUGUUGGUAUUGACAAGUACAACAAACUGCUUGUUUUCCAACAGACCCCUGUGUGCCCCGGUUGUUAAAAGACUGUUCUUGAAAGUGUGAUGGACGUAAUGAAGAUUAAAGUUGAGACAAAAUUGACCGUGAAGGCUGUUGAUGAUUAUCUACAGUACACUGCUUCGAUGCUGCCCCACGGUCAUCGUUUUCCUACCACUUAUCAUAAGGUCCGAUGUAUCCUGAAAGAUCUUGGGCUUUCCUACAUCAAGAUCCAUGCAUGCAGAUAUGACUGCGUUCUCUUCUGGGGUAAAGAUCCAGAAGGGAAUGACCUUGGUGGCCUUGACGCAUGUCCGGUAUGUCACACUGACAGGUAUAAGCUGACUCUUACAGGCAAUAGGAAACCUGUGAAGGUACUUCGGUAUUUCCCGUUGAGUGAUAGGUUGGAGCGGUUGUACAUGUCUUCACACACGGCCGAAGCUAUGAGAUGGCACGCUGAUAGAGAAUUGCAUGACGAAGAUACCCUUAUACACCCUGCUGACGGGGAGGCUUGGAAGCAUAUAGACAGGGAGUUUCCUCAUUUUGCGUCAGAGGUCCGAAAUGUGAGGCUCGGGCUCUCAUCCGACGGGUUCAACCCUUUUGGCAACAUGAGUCUUCAAUACAGUGUAUGGCCGGUGAUUUUGGUACCGUACAACCUUCCUCCAUAGAUGUGCAUGAAGAAGGAAUACAAUAUGUUGAGUUUGUUGAUUCUGGGGCCCGGUUAUCCAGGGAAGUGUCUCGAUGUGUAUUUGAGACCUUUGAUUGAAGAGCUUAAGUUUUUGUGGGACGUUGGUCAUCCUACUUAUGACAAGUACAUGCACGAGAUGUUCCAGAUGCUAUGACAAGUACAUACACGAGAUGUUCCAGAUGCAUGUCAUGGUUGUUGGUACCAUCAGUGAUUUUUCUGCCCGUGGGAUGUUGUCGGGUAACGUUGUUAGGGGAUACAAGGCUUGUAUAGAGUGCCUUAGCGAUGAGGGGAGCAGCAGUCAUUGCAACAAGAGAUGCAAAUUGGGUCACCGUACUUUCCUUCCAUAUGAUCACGAAUGACGGUUUGAUGCAUAGGCAUUUGAUGAGACUAUAGAAAACGGUGUGCCUCCCAGAAGAUGGACGGGAGAAGAAAUUUUAGCAGUGCUUAAUGAGUACGAUUUUAGGAAGCUCAGCAAUCAUCCCAAUAUUAUGGCGGCAAUACCUGAAAGACCCAACAUGUACAAAUUCUGGACACAUAAGAGCAUAUUCUGGGAAUUCCCAUACUAGAGUAAGUUGUUGAUCAGGCACUACCUAGAUGUGAUGCACAUAGAAAAGAAUGUUUGCGACAGUGUGGUGGGCACAAUGCUGAACUUGGAGAGGAAGACGAAAGACGGUUCUAAGGCACGCAUUGAUCUAAAAAAAAAUGCAAUUAAGAAGACAUCUGUGAUUGAAAGAAGGGAAGCAAAAAAAUGCUCCAAGCUCCUUACACCGUGAACCCUGACCAGAAGAACGUAAUUUUCAUGUGGAUGAGUUGUGUGAAGUAUCCUUCAGGCUAUGCAGGAAAUAUAGCCCAGUGUGUGAACUUCCGGGACAAUAAAAUGUACGGGUUGAAGAGUUAUGACUGUCAUAUCCUGCUACAACGUCUCUUCUCUGUUUCAUUCCACCGUUCCUUCACCGUCAGGUGGUGGAGCCGUUAGUAGCGUUGGCAAGAUUCUUCCAGAAGUUAUGCAUACGGGAAGUGAAAAAAUCUAACCUCCGGGAAAUGCAAGAGGACAUCAUUUAUAUCAUGUGUAAAUUUGAGAGGAUAUUUCCUCUAAAUUUUUUUGACAUCAUUCCUCACCUGAUGAUCCAUCUUCCUGAGCAAUUGUUGCUUACCGGUCCAGUACACUACACUUGGAUGUAUCCCAUGGAAAUGUACGUUUUAUACACCUGAAUUCCUCAAUAUACAUGUUCAAUAAUCAUAACACUUUGCAACUUGAUUUAUAGGCAACUUGGAGACUACAAAGAUUAUGUGGCUAAUAAAUCCGCGCCUGAAGGAUGUAUAGCUGAAGCAUAUAUUGCGCACGAGUGCGUCACCUACAUGAAGUUGUAUUUAAAAGCGUUGAAGGAAACUCCGCAAACCAUACUGGUAGAUGUACCGAAGUUCAAUCUUUCCAUACUCUCCAGUGAUGUUGAAGUUUAUGGAAUUUUGCCAGACUCCUACAAGUUGCAACCAUAUGAGCUAGUCAUUGCCCACUGGUGAGUAUUGAUUAACUGUCCAGAAGUUGAAAGACAUCCAUCUAAAUUGUCCAGACAUUCAAGGUGAUCUCGAUUACCACAACAGGGAGUUCGCAAACUAUUUUGGCGACUGGGUACGUAAUUCAAUAUUUCUGUACGUGUUUAUGUUUAUUACAUAAUUAUCCAUAUUUACAGUUGAAUGGUUGGUUGUAGAUGAACCAUAUUCAAUUUGAUGGUCACCCAAAUUGGUCGCACAAACUAAGACUUUUAGCGAUGAAGCUGAUAAUGUCAAGAGUUUAUCCGAUGUGCAAGGUGAAUGGCGUGCAACUUAUAUGUGAACAGAGAGACAGUAGACGGAGAACACAGAAUUCUGGGGUCAUGGCGCAUGGUGGGCGGAAUGGAGUUGACUAUUACGGUGUUCUCCAUUCAGUGGUGAAACUCGUUUAUGGGCAAGGCAUGACAGUGCACCUCUUUAAGUGUAGAUGGUUUGAUACUAGGCCGGAGAGCAUGAAGACCGAUCAGUACGGAAUAUUAUCGGUGAACAGUGCAACAAGUUCUUACGAAGAUGACAAGUUCAUUUUUGCCACAUCGGUAAAACAAGUGUUUUAUCUUGAUGAUUUUGCUAAGGGUGACGCGUGGAAAGUAGUCAACCUUGUGCACCCUCGAAAAAUUUAUCGGGCGGCUACACUUGGAGAGGCCAAAGAAGAGGAAGAAGAUGUUGCGUAUCAAGAGCCCAACGCAAUAGGUAUUCCUAACUCCUCUACCGUUCGCCUUAGUAAUUUUAAAACGGGUCGUUCGGUGCGAAUUCGUGAUGAAGAGCCAAGGCUUAUUGAUGUUGAUCCAAAUCAAGAAACAAACGAAGACUCUGGUGAUGAGGAAAGGCAUAGAUUACCAGAAAUUAAUUCUGACACCGAAGACUCAUCGGAUGAUUCCGAUUACGAGCCUUAGUUUUAAUUCCGAUUACAUUAAUUUGUAAUAAAAAGAAUGUAUAACCUUUAUAGUUUAUAUAUGUUGAAUUCAUAUUUCUGUUAUUUUAUAUGAAUUUUGAUGAUAUAUGAACAUGAAGUUAGUAUGGUUUAAACCUUCUAUUUUUUUUAAUGUAUUUUUUACACUUUAGCCGACGAAAUAUACCAUAAUUCGUCGGCUUAAACCAUCUCAGCCGACGAAAUAUAUCAUAAUUCGUCGGCUUAAAUCAUCUUAGCCGACGAAAUAAGUCAUAAUUUGUCCGCUAAGAUGCCGUUAGCCAACGAAUACCCUAAUAUUUUGUCGGCUAAACCCUAAACCCUAAAAUUUUUACAUGACUUGUUGGGUCUCAUCGGUUUGAAACUAUUUUCAAUUGAAGGUCCGGCCAAAAUACGUAAUUUAGAUGGCCCAAUAACCUUUUCCGUGCUUUUAGGGGUUUGACUUAACGGAUUGACCGACCGGAUCGAGCCCUUAACCUUGUCGAAUCAAGUUGAAUUUUUUCCGAUACAUGUAUUUUAUCAUGAUGGUCAGAUCUGACGGUCGGAUUUUCGUUUCUCAAGUUUGAUCAUCACAAUCACAAUGUGCCGAAUGUAUAAAAGUACUUUAGCUAACAAAUUUGAAAGGUGAGCCAACGAAUUUCAAAGGUCAGCUGACGAAUUUUAAAGGUCAGCCGACGAAUUUUAAAGGUUUAGCAGACGAAUUUCAAAGUUUAGCCGACGAAUUUCAAAUUUUAGCCGACGAAUUUCAAAGUUUAGCCGACGAAGUAAAAAUUUCGUCGGCUAAAGUUGUACUGUAUACAGACAAAGACCUAGCGCUCAACAGCCUCCACAGCGCGUUUCAAAAACCCUAGCUAGCCUCCUCCGCCUCCCUCUCCCGGUCUCCCGAUCCGCCUCCUCCACCUAUUGCUCCAGCCCCGAUCGGUCCUCCUCUUCAUCGGCCGGCCUCCUAGAGCCCUCCCUCCUCCUCUUGCUGCUCUAGCCCUCCCUCCUCCUCCUCCUGCUCCAGCCUCGAGACCUCCCUCAUCCUCAAGUACAUUUCAACCCGAAGAAGGAGGUGUCCGAUCUCUCUUGGGUUUCGACUGCAUUUCAGGUAAUUUUACGAUUUGUUGUUAGACAUUGAUGAUGUGCGUCAGUUGUUGUCUUUGAAUUUGCGGAAGAGUUGGCUUUAUGUGUUUGCUAGUUCAAGGCAUUCACUCUCACAUUUAUUCUCUAGGACAAGUGACGAUUGCUUAUUGUUUUCUGCUCAUAGUUUGGAAGAUCUCUUAGUCAUUUUAAUUCAUGUUUCUGAAAUUUAGUCCUUGUUCUCAAUCAAAAUUUAAUGGGGUACUAAGAAGAUGAGGUCAUUUGCAUUUGUUGUGAAUUUUGGAGAAUUAGGAAACAUAAUUUGUAUUUGGUAUCUAAGCCAAUAUAGAUAGUGCUGAAGUGCGUCAAUUAUCGAUUCAAGUAGGAGGAGAAGAGUUUAAUGGUGUUUUUUUGUUGACUAAUUGAAUGGGUUUACAUUGUUUGAUUUUGUGGUGUUGUUACGAAUAUGAAAAUAAGCAUGAAACUGACCUCCUCUUCUUGUCAUGAAAUAUAAAUCUAAAAGUUAGGAGCUUAAAAAUUAAUUUUUAAAAGUUACAAAUUCUAAUUUUUUUUUUUCAAAAGGCUGACGCCUUGGUCAGGCUCUCGCUCCAUAGCCUCGGCUACGCCUUAGCCUUUUAAAACAUUGGCCUUGAUUCAAAUUAAUAUUUUAAACAAGAUGAGCGGUAAUUUUAGAUCAACGAAGGGUUCGAAGGGCCAAAGGUCCGAAUCGUCUGAGGGAACCUCUAGCAACCCUCAAACGUUGUUUCGGGGCCCCAUGACAGCCAGACGUGCGACCUUUCUGGAGACGACGCAGAGGCAGCCGAAGGUGCCCUCUUCAUCAAGGCAGCGGGGCGUCCCUCAUUCCUCGAGACAGCUGUGGCCUCAGACCCAGACGAAGGUGUCUGCACCCCGUAUGCCUGAGAUACAUCGGGCGCCCACUCCGGGUCCUACUUCUUCAGAUAGUGGGUCAUCUGGGGUACAGAUGCCGUCGCCUCAUCUGUUCCUUCCUCGGAUGAUACCGGCCUUAUCUGCAGUCGAUGGCUCAGGGACGUCGAUUUAUCCACUGCCCCCGCCAGUGGCUCCAUCAGCGGCGUACCGGUUCGUGCCUUUUGAUACGCCUCUUAUUUCCGCGAGGGUAUCAUCAUCGGCGAAAGAGACGGAAUCCAUCGCGUCCGCCGCAUCGCCCUCAGGUAAUGAAAGAUGAAUGAUUUGUUUUCUUAUAAUUAAUAAUAAAGGGUCUCCGAUUUUAAUAAUCAAUUUGGUUUAUCAUUUGAUAGGCACCAUCAGAGCGAAGCCGACAAAGAAGAAGAGAGGUCCCGUCAUAGGGAAGGCUCUUGAGAAGACCGUCAGUACCGCAGGGAGGAUCAUCAUCGUUACUGACGGGGAUGGCGACAUAGUAUCGGGCGGGAAGUCGAGGACGUACUCCGGCCGCGUGGGAGCGCUCAUUAGGGAUAGAGUCCCUAUGUUGUGGUCAGACUGGGGCGAGGUCCCGCAGGAGGUUAAGGACAUGGUCCACAACGCGAUGUCGGUGAGUUUACAAAAUGCCUCAAUAAUAUUAUGUAUUACAUUGUUGAUUUCUCGAAAAACUAAACUAAUAAACGGUUAAAUGCAUGUGUGGUUUGAGGUUCCCGAGCACCUGAAGAACAGCUGGGCGGACGUUGUGCAUGGGGGAAGAUACGUUGGGAAGUUAAUGAAAAAACAAAAUUGUAUGUAAUAUUAAUAAUAUUUCUAAUAUUUUUGUUGUAUCUGUAGGUACAAGGAGUGGAAGAACGAGUUGCGGACUCACUGGUCUACGCACGGGAACGCAUGUUUUGGUACCCCUGCUGAGUUCCAGUACAGGGAGUACGAGUGGCGUUGGCUUCUGACAUCAGAAUUCAACAACCCUCGUAAACAGGUUUUUAAAAAAAUUAAUUAGUUAAUUUGUCAUUAAGUACGUGCGUUUUUAAAUAUUUUACUAAUAGUUUAUUUUUUUCUUUGAAGGCCGUUUCCCGGGCGAACGCUCAAAACCGGCACCGCAACACAAGAAACCAUCGUGCCGGUUCUAGACCGUUCGCUGUCUUCAUGGACGAGGCGGUCAGGGAACAUCCAGAAGUCAACAUGUACGUCUAUACGUACGAGAAGACAUAUCCUGACGUCCAGGAGGAUAUUGUAAGUCAUCUUACGUUUUAAAAUUUUUAAUUUUACUUAUAUAUAUGUCAAAAUGUUAAUAAAUAAUUUUUUCCUAUCCAAUUAGGCGAAGGUGAUGGAGGCUAGUGACGAGGUGAUGAGUGUUAUAGUGAGGGAGACAUGGCCGGACACGCAGGAGGAAGAGAUGUCAGAAGCCAUGUCCCGGAUCAACACUUCGGAUCCGACGGUUGGGGCGAGGAUCAUGGGCACAACCUUCCCACCGCGAGCAAAUAACUUCUACUGCCGGGGUCUAGGAAAGAAGGGCGAGGGGGUCCUGAAAACCACUCCAGGAUUUCAACGAAAGGCAGCCUCGACUAGCAGCAGGACCAGGACCACUACCACCAAGACGACUCAGCUAGAGUCGGAAGUUCAGAGACUACGGGAAUAGCAAGCUGCUCAGGCAGCCUAUAAUGCCGCGCAGACAGCCUAUAAUGCCGCGCAGGCAGCCUAUGCUGCCGAGAUAUAUGCCAUCCAACAGGCCCAGCAAUAGCAGAUGUUCUAGUACAUGCAGGAGUUUACAGCUGCCCAGCUUCAGGGACUUCCAUCUCCGCCCAUGCCUCCGGUUAUACCGCUACCCCAGCUGCCGCAACCUCCGCAGCAGCCUCCAGAAGCGGAUAUUAAUUUAGACGAUGUAGAUUUUGUGUAGUUGAUGAAUUAUAUAGUUUUAUGUGCUUGUUGUUGGUUAUAUGAAAUUGUUUUGGUGUAUUUUGCAGCUUGCUUGGAAUGGUAAUUUAGAAAUUUCGGUUAUUUUUUUACUGGAAUGGACUUAUAGCCGAUGAAAUAUGCCAUAAUUCAUCGGCUAUAGUAUUUUUUUUUUUAUAAGGUUUAGCCGACGAAUUAUGAAAUGUUUCGUCGGCUAAACCCUUUUAAAACCUUUAAAGCCGACGAAACAAACUAUAUUUCGUCGGCUUUAGUUAAUUUUUUAUUUUUUUAUUACAUACUAUAGCCAACGAAUAUAUUAAACGUUUCGUUGGCUAAAAUCUCAGACUACAGUCGACGAAACAUUUAAGAUAUUCGUCGGCUAAAUUAUGGGAAAAAAGCCGACGAUCUCUUUUUCGUCGGCUAAAUUCUGGGACUAAAGCCGACGACGUAUUCUAGUUUCGUAGGCUAAAGUCAUCGCCGAUGACCUUUUCCCGAUGAAAUCUUAGCCGACGAAUUAAGCUAACAGGCCGACGAAACUUUUUCGUCGGCUAAAGUGCUUAUCCUGGUAGUGACGAUUAAUUAGGCAAGGUCAAAUUGCUGAAAAUUUGUACAAUAAUUGUUGAAGUUCAACAAUCGAUCAAAGCUUAUAGUCACUAAAUUUUGGAGAUUGGAUUUGAAUGUUAUUUAUAUCGUUUUAGGAAAAUAAAAAAUUAAAUAUUCAUUGUCUUAAUUCAAGCCUAAACAAUGAUAGACAUGACUACUUCUUUCACACGAUUCAUAUUACCAAGCAAUAUAUAUGUUAGAGAGGAAAGAUCCCAUAUCAUAAAAUGGACGAAGAAAAAUAUAACUUAUAAAUAGAUGGAUCAUACCCAAUUGUACCGAAGCCUUUUGUGGUUAAAAACCAACUUUUUAAAUGUGGUUAAAUUGAGACAGUAUCAGUACAAUAAUGAUCUAUAUGUCAUGCUUGUCUUUAUUCAAGUAUCUAUAGGCAAUGUUGAGUGACUCGAGUCAUUUUUGUUUCUCACAUAAUGCAAUUUAGGAUAAAAUAGCUAUGCAAAAUAAUUGUCCCUAUGAUAUUUAUUUGUGUCACAAUCGACAUGAUCAAAUAUACUCUAUUAAAUAACGAUACUCAUAACCAAAAUUUAUCUAAAUAAUGUAGGAUUCUAAAUCUAAAAAAAAAUUAUACAAGGUUGAUGAGCAUGAGUAGGUAAUGGAAUCAUAUGUUUUGAUAUCAUCACAUAACAUUUUAUUUAGAUAAUGUAAAAAUAACUAUAGAACGAAAUGGAGUUAGUUCAAUCCAACAAGAUGAAAUCUCAAGAGAUAAUUAAGUUGACUCAUGUACGUUUUUCAUUCCCUUUAAUGUAAUUCAAAUAUUCAAUUAAUUAGGUUAAUUUUAUUUAUUACAAAUACAACAAUGAAAAUAAUAAAUAGAUAAUCGUACCUAAUCCUAAUUCUAAUAGCAAAUUUUACUUGCCUACCCCUUAGAAGAUCACAGGAAUCUACAUCAUUCAGAAUGGGUAAAUAGAUAAAUUUUAUAUUUAAUGCUUUUUAAUAUAAUAAAUAAAGAAGGAUAAAAUUAAAGUCUCGCUAAAAUAUUUAAAAAUCGUAUUAAUUGCGUUUUGGAAUUAAUUGCCAAUUAAUAUUUACCCUAGCCUUACUUUUACCAUGUUCAUUCAAUUUUUUUGUUUUCUCAAUACUCUUUAACGGUGUUAGUAUUGGUGUUAGUGUCAUGUAGUUAACUGCAUGGUAGUGAUUCGUCAGUCAUGGUAGGUUAGUAGAAAAUAAGGAUUCAAUAUGGUUUUGUAUGCUUCAAUGUAUUAUUCUUCUCCAUAUAGGAGGUUUAUAUAGAGAUACAAUUGUAGUGCUAAUAGGAAAAUAUUUCCUACACCUAUACAUAAUAUUCAACCUACACAUACAAGGAAAGUAAAUAUAUUUAAUAUAUUCUACACUCCCCCUCAAGUUGGUGCAUAGAUAUCGAUCAUGCCCAACUUGCCAACCGAGUUGUCAAACACUUCCUUGACACUCCUUUUGUGAGAACAUCUGCUAAUUGAUCUUNNNNNNNNNNNNNNNNNNNNNNNNNNNNNNNNNNNNNNNNNNNNNNNNNNNNNNNNNNNNNNNNNNNNNNNNNNNNNNNNNNNNNNNNNNNNNNNNNNNNNNNNNNNNNNNNNNNNNNNNNNNNNNNNNNAGACUUCUUCAACUUACAAACCUUUCCAACAUCGCAAGGUCUACAUUUGACUCCUGGGGGCAUAUCCAUAUACACCUCUUCUUCCAAGUUUCUAUUGAGGAAAGCAUUCUUCACAUCAAACUGUCGUAGAGGCCAAUCUUUAGUUGCCGCAAGUGAAAUCAAGAUUCGAACAGUGUUGAUUUUUGCUACAGGCGCAAACGUUUCUUCAUAAUCAAUCCAAUAACGCUGGGUGUACCCUUUGGCAACUAAUCUGGCUUUAUACCUGUCAAUGCUCCCAUCGGCUUUAAGUUUAACCGUAAAUACCCAACGACAUCCAACAGUCUUCUUUCCAAUAGGUUUAUGAAUAACAUCCCAGGUCGAGUUCUUUUGCAAGGCUUCUAGUUCUUCAUUCAUCGCUUGAGUCCACUUAGGAUCCGCCAUUGCAUCCUGUACAGUACUAGGAAUAGAAACACUGGAUAAUUGAUUAAUGAUAAGAGCAUGUGACCCAGCCAACCUAUGGUUAGACAUAGAAUUAGCUAUAGGAUAUUUAGCUUUGGCUUUGAUGUCUGGUUCAUAUUGUUUCUUUGGAAUACCCUUGGUAACCCUCUGAGACUUCCUAGUUACAAUAUUAUCUAUCCCAGAUAAUUGGUUUGAAUUCAAAGAUACCUGAGAAGGGACAUUUGCAGCGGAUUCUUCGGUUGAUGGUGUAGAAAAGGGAAAAAAUAUCCGAAGAGCAAGUGGUCGAAUCAGUUGAAAAUUGUGGUUCUUGUUGGUUUGCAUCAGCCGAUCCAUGCGCGACACGUGACCCUAUCUGCGUGCCUGCCUCUUCCAGUCCAACAAUCUCUUCUUCGUCAGUCAUAUGCAUGCCAACCUCUCUGUGCACAACAUGUGGCACAGCUUCACUCCCAAAACUGGAUCAACGUAGACACGUGACCCAAGCUGAAAUUGUGGCUCAGCUUCCGCUCCGUUUGGCUUAUGGCUCGACUCACUCGGCUCACAUUCUAUUGCAUCAGAGGAGAUCCGCUGUUGUUCGACAUGUGGCACGCCAUCAGCCACUUCGACGCGAGGCCCACUGUUUUUGUCAAUGUUGGUAUGCUGCUGUACAACGUCGUUUUCAUGAUUUUUGUUUCCUCCUGCUCCAAAUCUCGACUCCAAUUCUUCUAAUUCUUCAAAUUCUUCAAAUUCAAAUAAAUUUUGGGAAUUCCCUUCAUAUGCUCUCUCCCCCUGAAGGGAAGACUCUGAUACUCCCCCUGAGUAGUAAGGCUCUGAUUCACGAAAAGAAACAUCAAGGGAUACAUGCAUAGUGUCUGUAAGAGGAUCAUAACAUCUAUAUCCUUUCUGAAAAUCUGCAUAACCCACAAAGAUACACUUCCUUGCACGGGGAUCAAGCUUACUCCGUUGUUGUUUUAGAAUAUGAACAUACACUGUACAUCCAAAUACACGAGGCUCCAAGUUAGGCAACGAAGGAAACGAGAGAAGAUUCUGAAGCUGUUGUAGAGGGUUUUCACAUUCAAUAACCCGAGAAGGGGUACGAUUAAUGAGGUAGGCAGCAGAUGUCACAGCUUCUCCCCAAUAUUCUACAGGUACAUUCAUGCCAAACAAAGAGGCACGGACAACUUCAAGCAACUGCCGAUUUUUCUUCUCUGCCAAUCCAUUUUGUUNNNNNNNNNNNNNNNNNNNNUGAUUAGCUUGACCCAAAGACUGCAUAUGUUUCUCUCCUGUCUCUGUCAGAUCUAGGUAGUACAAUUUCCCUUUUCUCACUCCAUAACCCAAAAUCCGCCUAGUUAGAAUGUCCUGAAAUACACAGAAAGACGGAUAAAAGGUGACAAUACAUGAUAAUUCUUGAAUGAUUUGGCCAACUGAGAGAAGAUUGUAUGACAAUGAAGGGACGACUAAUACAGAAUCAAGGGUUAAUGUGUUUGAUAGGACAAUAGAGCCUUCUCCGGUAACCGGAGUUGGAGUACCAUCAGCGGUAGAAACAAUAUUUUGAGAGGAGGGUUUUAAUUUUUUCAAGAGGCUAGGAUCAUUACACAUGUGAUCUGAUGCUCCUGUAUCAAUAAUCCAGGACCUAUUCAUAGAUACCUUACCACUCAUACAUGACUGUGUGACAUUGGAGGCAUUGGAUGGUUGGUCUUCCUCUGUAGUGGUUAUGACAGUUUUUGCUUGAUUCUUUCGGGGUUUCAGGGUGAAAUCCCACCAAUCCGGGUACCCAAUUUUUUCAAAGCAACGUUGCUUGCUAUGACCUAAUACUCCACAUAGCGGACAUUUUGAGUUUGCAUAUGAAUUUGGUUUGCAUGGAGACCGGCAUGGUGUGGUGGUAUGGUAGUUGAUUUAGUGUGCCAUUUUGGAGGUUUGGUUUUUGAGAUACAAGGAUUCGGGAAUUAUGAUUUUGUUUGUAAUGAUUCGUUUGUAGUGUGAUUCGGGAUUCAGGUUUGGUCUUGGGAUUUGAGAAUUUGUGUGUGAUUUGUGAGAUUUUUGGUACGCAGCGAUUUGUGGUGUUUUGGGUGUAAAUUGAAAGGAUCGAACCUGGCAAGCUCUGAUGCCAAGUAGAAAAUAAGGAUUCAAUAUGGUUUGGUAUGCUUCAAUGUAUUAUUCUUCUCCAUACAGGAGGUUUAUAUAGAGAUACAAUUGUAGUGCUAAUAGGAAAAAAUUUCAUACACCUAUACAUAAUAUUCAACCUACACAUACAAGGAAAGUAAAUAUAUUUAAUAUAUUCUACAAGGUUCACAUGCACCAUGGUGCAAACAAGAACUUUCAAUACGAAAGAGUAGAAAAUAAGGAUUCAAUAUGGUUUGGUAUGCUUCAAUGUUUAUUCUUCUCUAUAUUGGAGGUUUAUAUAGAGAUACAAUUGUAGUGCUAAUAGGAAAAAUAUCUCCUACAUCUAUACAAAAUAUUUAACCUACACAUACAAGGAAAGUAAAUAUUUACAAAUAUUCUACACUCCCCCUCAAGUUGGUGCAUAGAUAUCAAUCAUGCCCAACUUGCCAACUGAGUCGUCAAACACUUUCCUUGACACUCCUUUCGUAAGAACAUCUGCCAAUUGGUCUUCUGUAUACACGAAAGGGAAACGAAUUAUCUUCCUGUCCAACUUUUCCUUAAUGAAAUGUCGAUCUACCUCCACAUGCUUUGUCCGGUCAUGUUGAACAGGAUUAUGAGCAAUUUCAAUUGCAGACGUACUGUCACAAUGCAAGUUCAUGGGUUUCUUGAGUUUGAAACCCAAUUCUUUUAAUACAUUACGAAUCCAUAACAUCUCACAAACUCCAUGUGCCAUACCUCGAAAUUCUGCUUCAGCACUUGACCUUGCAACGACUUUUUGUUUCUUACUACGCCAAGUUACAAGGUUUCCUCCAACAAAUGUAAAAUACCCAGAUGUAAAUCGUCUGUCAGUCUUAUCACCAGCCCAAUCAGCAUCGGUGUACCCUACAACUUCUGAUUCACCCUUCUUUUCAAACAACAAGCCUUUGCCAGGUGCUGUCUUAAGAUACUUUAGAAUACGGUACACUGCAUCCAUAUGUUCUUCACUAGGACAAUGCAUAAAUUGACUAACCACACUCACAGCAUAAGCAAUAUCAGGUCUGGUAUGAGAAAGAUAAAUAAGUCUUCCUACUAGACGUUGAUACCUUCCUUUAUCAGUUGGGACUUGAUCUGGAUAGAUGGCGAGGUUGUGGUUCAUCUCAAUUGGUGUCUCAACCGGUUUGCAAUCAAGCAUUCCAGUCUUAGCUAACGAAUUAAGUACAUACUUACGUUAGGACAAAGAAAUCCCUGCUUUGACCUUGCAACUUCAAUUCCAAGAAAAUACUUCAACUGUCCAAGGUCCUUCAUCUCAAACUCCUUUGAAAGGUACUUCUGUAGAGCCUCCAUCUCUUUUGGGUCAUCUCCUGUAACAAUCAUAUCAUCAACGUACACAAUCAGAGCAGUGAUCUUACCCUGACUACGCUUGAUGAAUAAAGUGUGAUCUGAGUUGCUUUGUCUAUAGCCAAACAUCUUCAUUGAUUUGGAGAAUCUUCCAAAUCAAGCUCUAGGAGAUUGCUUCAAACCAUACAAGGACUUCUUCAACUUACAAACCUUGCCGGCAUCGCAUGGUUUACUUUUGACUCCUAGUGGCAUGUCCAUAUACACCUCUUCCUCCAAGUUUCCAUUGAGGAAAGCAUUCUUGACAUCAAACUGUCGUAGAGACCAAUCUUUAGUUGCUGCAAGUGAAAUCAAGAUUCGUACAGUGUUGAUCUUUGCUAUAGGCGCAAACGUUUCUUCAUAAUCAAUGCCAUACCGCUGGGUGUAUCCCUUGGCAACCAACCUUGCUUUAUACCUGUCAAUACUCCCAUCUGCUUUCAACUUUACGGUGAAUACCCAACGGCAUCCAACGGUCUUCUUUCCAGCUAGUUUAGGCACAAUAUCCCAAGUCGAGUUUUUCUGUAAUGCCUCUAGUUCUUCGUUCAUCGCUUGAGUCCACUUAGGAUCCGUCAUUGCAUCCUGUAAACUACUAGGAAUACAAACACUGGAUAAUUGAUUAAUGACAAGGGCGUGUGACUCGGACAAUCUAUGGUUAGACAUGUAAUUGGCUACAGGAUACUUAGCUUUGGCUUUGAUAUCAGGUUCAUAUUGUUUCUUUGGAAUUCCUUUAGUAACUCUCUGUGACUUUCUAGGUAGAAUACUAUCUACCUCACGUAAUUGAUUUGAAUGUAAACGUACAUGAGCUUGAGCAGGGACAUUCACGGCGGAUUCUUGAAUUGAUGGUGUAGAGAAAGGAAAACUGUCUGACAGAGAAGAACCUUGGGUGUCCAAUCUACCAGUACCAUGUGGCCCAUGUUGCACAGCCUGCGUUUCUUCUUGACUGACGACACCUGCUUCAAAGUCUGACGCGGCAGUAUUUUUUAGGUCAACACGCGUGUCCACAUCAGCUGUGUCAACCAAUCCCGACGUGACAUGUGGCAAACCCAGUUUCAGCAUGUCUUCUGUUCUGUCACGCGCAGCAGUCUCCUGGGCGACACGCGGCACCUUGUGCUGCUCUCCUCUGACACGAACGUGGUCCUCUUCAGUUCGGCUCGGCUCGGCUGAAGUCUCCACUCGGCUUGGCUCUCUGACGCGCACAUGGUCCCCUUCAGUUCGGCUCUGCUCGGCUGCAGUCUCCACUCGGCUUGGCUGAGCUUCACGUGGGUGGCCUGCAUCAAUACUGAACGGGACAGGAGUUGUUGUCUCCUUUUCUGUUGCUUUAUCAUUUGUGGCUCCAUUAACUCCGAAUCUCAACUCCAAUGCUUCCACCUCUUCAAACUCGUCGAAUUCAAAUAAUUGUCGAGAAUUCCCUCCACCUUCACAACCGCUCUCCCCUUGAAGGGAAGAUGUCGAAACUCCCCCUGAAUAGUAAGGCUCAGAUUCACGAAAAGAAACAUCAAGGGACACGUGAAUGGUAUCAGUGAGAGGAUCAUAACAUCGAUAGCCUUUUUGAAACUCGGCAUACCUAAGAAAGAUACACCGUUUAGCACGAGGAUCAAGUUUGCUUCGUUGUUGCUUGGGAAUAUGAACAUAUACUACGCACCCAAACACACGAGGCUCCAAGUUAGGCAAUGAUAGAAUGGAGAGAAGUUUUUGAAGCUGUUGUAGAGGGUUUUGACAUUCAAUAACCCGAGAAGGGAUACGAUUAAUGAGGUAGGCAGCAGAUGUCACAGCUUCUCCCCAAUAUUCUACAGGUACAUUCAUGCCAAACAAAGAGGCACGGACAACUUCCAGCAACUGCCGAUUUUUUCUCUCUGCCAAUCCAUUUUGCUGAGAAGUAUAAGUAUUUGAAGUCUGAUAUUGAAUUCCAUGUAACUUCAUAAACUCUUGCAUAGGACCAUUAAUAUAUUCUCCGCCAUUGUCAGACUGGAAAACUCGAACAACCUGUUGAUACUGUGUGGACACCAUCUUGUGAAAUUCUUUGAAUCUAGAAUAAACAUCGCUCUUAUUAUUCAAUAGAGACACCCAAGUCGUAUGGGUACAAUCAUCAAUAAACGUCACGAAAUACCGAGCACCAGAGAGAGAAGGAAUUUCUGCAGGACCCCACACGUCAGAGUGAAUCUUCAUAAAUGGAACGGGACUUUUAUUUAGGCUUGGUGGAUAUGAAAUACGGUGGCUCUUGGCUAGUUCACAUAUGUCGCAAUGAAAAUCUGAAUAGUCGACAUCUGAAAAUAAUUGCGGUUGCAGUUUCUUAAGAUAACCGAAGUUUAGAUGACCCAACCUGCGGUGCCAAAGCCACACAUCUUUCUUAGCACUCUCAGCUCUAUUGACCUGAUUAGCUUGACCCAAAGACUGCAUAUGUUUCUCUCCUGUCUCUGUCAGAUCUAGGUAGUACAAUUUCCCUUUUCUCACUCCAUAACCCAAAAUCCGUCUAGUUAGAAUGUCCUGAAAUACACAGAAAGACGGAUAAAAGGUGACAAUACAUGAUAAUUCUUGAAUGAUUUGGCCAACUGAGAGAAGAUUGUAUGACAAUGAAGGGACGACUAAUACAGAAUCAAGGGUUAAUGUGUUUGAUAGGACAAUAGAGCCUUCUCCGGUAACCGGAGUUGGAGUACCAUCAGCGGUAGANNNNNNNNNNNNNNNNNNNNNNNNNNNNNNNNNNNNNNNNNNNNNNNNNNNNNNNNNNNNNNNNNNNNNNNNNNNNNNNNNNNNNNNNNNNNNNNNNNNNNNNNNNNNNNNNNNNNNNNNNNNNNNNAUACCUGACUGUGCUAUAUUAAAGGCAUUUGAUGGUUGGUCUUCCUCUAUAGUGGUUAUGACAGUUUUUGCUUGAUUCUUUCGGGGUUUCAGGGUGAAAUCCCACCAAUCCGGGUACCCAAUUUUUUCAAAGCAACAUUGCUUGCUAUGACCUAAUACUCCACAUAGCGGACAUUUUGAGUUCGCAUAUGAAUUUGGUUUGCAUGGAGACCGGCAUGGUGUGGUGGUAUGGUAGUUGAUUUGUUGUGCCAUUUUGGAGGUUUGGUUUUUGAGAUUCAAAAAUUUGAGAAUUAUGAUUUUGAUGUAUGCAACGAUUUGGUUGUGGUGUGAUUCGGGAUUCAGGUUUGGUUUUGGGAUUUGGGAAUUUGUGUGUGAUUUGUGGGGGUUUUUGAUACGCAGCGAUUUGUGGUGUUUUGGGUGUAAAUUUAAAGGAUCGAACCUAGCAAGCUCUGAUGCCAAGUAGAAAAUAAGGAUUCAAUAUGGUUUGGUAUGCUUCAAUGUUUAUUCUUCUCCAUAUUGGAGGUUUAUAUAGAGAUACAAUUGUAAUGCUAAUAGGAAAAAUAUCUCCUACAUCUAUACAAAAUAUUUAACCUAUACAUACAAGGUAAGUAAAUAUUUACAAAUAUUCUACAGAAAGAUAUGUCAGUGUUAAUGGGCAACCCAGGCCACCAUGGAUGACCCACAAGAUUAGCAAGAGGCCACAAUUGCAGCAACUGCAAGCUUAUUAUCAGGUCCCGGGGACAGUCCGCUUGGAAUUCCUGGCACUUGGGAUUUUGGACGUGGAAUCGGCGGAGUUGGUCUGGGUGCCUCCAGAGGCACAGAAAAUGGAGCCAACGAACUCAACAAUGGAAAGAAACGCCAUGGUCUUGACCAGCUUUCUCUUUUCCGGCACCAAACUGAGGCUGCCACCUUUCUUCUUGUUGGGAUUCGUCGGCGACGGCUGAUCCAUCACCGCCCUCACAGCUUUCUCGCCAACAUGGCUAUGAAGCUUCGACACCAUCGAUCUCUCCCUCGCCGAGCUCUCUUGAUGUCUGUCUCUGUAAAAUUUAGGAAAAUGGGGAUGCAACCCAAGUGAGGAGCUGCGAGUGAUUUUAUAGACGUUUUUUUCAAUAGGGGUUCGAGAAGCCAAUCAGAGCAAUAGCUUGAGCAAGAAGCCCCUCAUGACGAAGCAUUUAUCCCCACGUGUCCAGUCAAAGUAACAAGGUGGGAACGUACCCUAGCUAAACCCUAACCCAGGUUGAUGGUGUCGUCGAUUCAUGGAGCUGGCAUGGGUUAGAAAUGAAGGUUUACAAAAGUUGAAGCUAGCUUUAUCUUUUCUGUUGGGUUAAUAAUUCUGCUUUGUUUGACCGAACCAAGAACUCUCCGGUUGGUUAAGAAGUCCAUUAAUUUUCAUAUAUAUAUUCUCUCUGAGGGGUUCGUUGCCUGUGAGACCUGCUAAUUAAGCGAUUACCAUGCACAGGCUUAAUUUGGUGCUAAAUGAGCUUCUACUUCUAUCAUUUUACUUGACUCAAAUCUAGCUAACAUGAGAGUAGAAAUGAAAUACAAAUUAAGUAGAAUGCAUGUUUGACUGGUUGGCUUAAAGCUAGGGAAGCUUCGUGGAUGUUUCUAAUGUUGCAAUUGGUAACUAUUACAUAUUUGAAUACCAAGUUUGACUGGUGGUGGGUGACCGAAAACCCUACAGCUAUAUUUUAGAGGAACAGAAAACAUUUUUGGAUCGAUUUGCACAAUAGAUGGAUCGAUGGAGAACUAGCUAAUUGUUGAGAUCAUAUAAAUCCUUUCUGAAAAAAUUGAGGAUUUUAUGAUUUUUAUCUAUGUACGUUGUUAUAUAUGAUUUUAUCUAUUUUCAAUUAGUUUGCAGCUGGUUGUGAAACACAAAAUACAGAUUAUAAAUAUAUGUGUCAUAUAAUCAUCGAUUGAUUUGAGGUUCCAGAAGAAGGUGGGACGGUAUUCAGAAGAAGAGAGGAAAGAAAGGAUUGAGAGGUAUUUGAAGAAAAGAAACCAAAGGAACUUCAACAAAACCAUUAAGGUACACAUCCCAGCUUAUAUAUAAAGGAAAUAUUGUUUUACCAUAUAAUUUAUUUUUUAUUAGAAAAUAUUCAUUAAUAGUGGUUAUAUCUAUUAUGUUACAGUAUGCUAGCUGAAUUGUCGCAAAACCCUGGCUGAUAAAAGAGUCCGAGUUCGUGGGAGAUUUGCAAGGAACAGUAAUGAACAGCUAACUAAUGAAGAUUCAACUCAUCAAGAAAUGGCACCAAAAAAGAUUGACAUGACAGAUCUGAACUCAUGUAUUGUAGCGGCGGUGCUGUCCAGGUAUUUACUAAUUUUUUUGCCUUACUGUGUUUCUUUUUCAUUAUGAUUUUACCUGAACCUGCGCGCCUAUCAUAAUUCUGACCUCUCUCUUCAUUGUCCAUUCUUCCUGGCUAGCUAGUAGCUAGAGAAACUGAGUUUUACCUGAUAUAGGAAACAAUCUUGCAUAUAUAUAGGAUCCCGACUUAUUUUACUGGUUACUUAAGUUUCCAAAAACUUAAUAUGAUAAUUAUGUUAUGAUGUUAAGUACUGAUCAUGUACUAACUGAUCCUAAAUUUACAGAUCAAAUAUGACGAGGAGGACUGGCUGCAAGAAGCUAUGGCAAGUCUGCUGUACUUACCUUAUGUCACUGCUGGCUGAGAUUUGAUACACAUGUAUAGUGCAGCGCUAUAAUAUUAACCAUGUCUAUCUGAUUGAGUAAACGAGGAGACUGAUGUUUGAAGAGGGCAUCGUCCUUGUAGAAGUUUCUAUCUAGUUAACAAGAUAGUUACGUAGUGUUUGUAUUUGAAAUAUGAAUUAAUUCGUCCAUCGAGUGGUUUCAACUAGUUUAGCAUUUCUUAUUAUGAAGGUUAUUUGAUUCAUCUGUUCUACCAAUGAAUCAAAAUUCUAUACACGCAUAUAUUUACACAAAAAUAAUCUCAACAUUAGUUCAGUGCAUGCUUGUAAAGAAGCAUAUGUAGUGGAAUUAAUAUAAAUGUCGGAACGUACCCAAAUAGUGGUGUUUCUAUAGAGGUAUGAUUUGAUUGAUUUGAUUGAUUUGAUGAUUAAGGUUUCUAUUCCACCUUGACUGCGGGCGUCUUUAUUAGAGGGUUAUUUAAGGUUUUUUUUUUUUUUUUUGCUUGACUGGGAUUUGAUUAGAGGCAUAUGAUGCAUGGAAAAUUGGUGGUUUUUCUCCACCCUCUUAUCUAAAAUGAACUACCAUUUUGAGGCCAAUCUUGCCUUAAGAAAGGAAUCAAAAUCACUUUUUGUAGCUAUUCAGUGCCAAAAUCACUGUUUGUAGCUAUUCACUUUUUGCUUCUUUGCAUUUUAAUUCAAGUGGGUUUUAAGGGUCAGGCUUUGCCGGCUAGGGUUGAUGGGAUGGAAUUUUACCAGGGGACCUGAUACUAUAUGUACUACUACAGCCUACAAAUCUUUCAGUUCUAUCUUCUAUUUUAACUUUAUGUGGCAAUUAGCUAGACAGAGAUGAAACUUCGUGCAUAAGGGUUCCCUAAAAUGCUCCUCCUUCACUUAGCUUCAUGAUAGAACAGGUCCCCAACUUGUUCCAAUUGGACUUCCACAUAUUUAAAUUGAUACUGGCAGUUGGUAUGACAGGAAAGCCAGGAAUCUUUCAAAGACAACAAAAGAUUAUGGAAAACCUCUUUAAGAGAAAUCCUUUUGAACCAGAUACCCCCCUCCCCCUUCAAAUAUUAGAACUCAGAAAAAUAUAGAAGCUAAAAAAAAGAAGUGAAAGCCAGCAUUCCGAACUAUUUCAAAGCCUAUUCAAUUGAUGAUGAAGAACAGGUCAAGGGAAUUCAUUCAGAAAAAUUAAAAGAAUCAAUCCAAACGAAAUCAACUUCAACAUUUGCCGACUUAGAAGAUGAUUUAGUUUCCUAACUAAGAAUUUAAACAUAGCUUUGAACUCACCUCAACAAAAGAUACCGCUAUCUUAUCAUGAUAUCGUUAAGCCUACUCAACUUUGAAGAGCCGAUUAAUUAGCAGCAAUUAAGUGAUGAUUAGUCUGGCAAAGCUGGGCAUGCAUACGUACAUAGGUAACAAUCAAGUCAAAACGAGAUCGGAAAAUUAUGUAAUUCAAACAAAGUGUAAGACAGUUUUAUGCAGUAUAUAUAUCCUACAUAAAAUUAUAAUAUCUAUUAGCAUGAAUAUGGUGUUGGUUUGGCUGAAUUUAUUAUUUUCUCAUAAAACCUUUAAACUAACAACCCUUAGCUUAUAUACUGUUACGCGGAAGAGGCCGACGGGUCCCACAGGUCUAAUAAUGUCGAUACUCCCCUCACUUUAGCCACCCGGUGAAGACAUGGGUAUAGAGUUUUACACAAAAGAUCUCGACAUUAGUGUGUGUGGUACCAUUCCUUAUAACCUAAGGAUGACUAUUUUCACGUUUCCUAUGUGAGAUUCCAAAUGGCUCAUAUCUAAGCCACAUUUUUCCAAUAUAUACUAUCUAUCAAAUUCUCCAAGUAUCUUUAUAUAGCACUUGAUUCAUACAUAUUCCUUCGAACAAACAAGCCACAUUUUUCCAAUAUAUACUAUCUAUCAAAUUCUCCAAGUAUCUUUAUAUAGCACUUGAAGAUUGAUACAUAUUCCUUCGAACAAACAACCUUGUCAUACGAUUGUUUCUCAAGCACACAGAAGCUAGCAAUAAACUUUCCCAUUUUACAGGUACAAGUUCUAAUAUCAAAUCACAUUUUAAGUAUUCGCAUGCAAUGUUGAGAAACCAUGUAUAGUUGUUUACACAAAAUAGGAAAUUAAAAAACGAUAGGAACCUUACCUAUCUUCUCGAUUUUCUCAAGUUUGGAGAAUAUUGAGUUUUUUUUAGAUCCAACAGCUUCCCCAUAUCAUUCCUUAAAGAGAAAUUUUAAAUACAUACCUCUAAUCUCUUAAUACACACCCUUAAAACCAUCAGAUUUUAUAGGUAUGUUUAAUUACAAAAACAUCCAUAAAUUAUUAGGGAAAAAAAAAGGAAAGAAAAAAAGAAACUUCUUCUUCCCGAAAACUUAACUCUUCUCCACUAUUACUACGCAUCAAAAGAAAAGAAAUAAAAACCUCUUCUUCAAAAUUCAUCACUUAAAUUUCGAAUACUAUCGUAAUCACAUGUACUAUUUACCGAUUCAUUUGGUUUUUUUUAUCAACUUUAGUUUUUAUCUUGUAGACUAAAAACUAAUUUUUAUGCAAUUGUACUUUUCCUAGUGUCUUAACUUUAAAAAAAUUAUGUACGUUCAAUAUUUUUUUCUUCAAAUUCUAACCGAUUGAUGUCAUAUUAGUGAUUUAGAGUUCGAAUAUAAUAUUACUCUUUUGAUUAUAAAUUGAAAAAUAUCAAGAAAGAAUUUCUAACCUGAUCAAAAAAAUCUAACAGAAAAUAAAAUAGAAUACGUAAAGAGAGUUGUGAAAUAGUAAAUAUAUAAUAAUUAUAUUAAAUGACAUAUUAUUAUUAGUUUUAAAUAUUGAGGGUAUUUUAAGCAGUUUGGAAUGUGUAUUUAGUAUAAUAUUGAAAUGAAAAACUGAUGGGUAGUGUAUUAGUUAGGGGUGUGUAUUAAGAGAUUAAGGGUGUGUAUUUAAAAUUUCUCUUCCUUAAAAUGGAGAUGGAGAAGAAAAAGAAUUAUUUAUUCCUCAAAUUUGCAACAAAGUCUUUAUUCACCAAAAUUAAAUUCUUUACGUGCUCCAACGAGAAAUUUAUUAAGUAUUUUAUUAUUAUAAUAAAAUAUAUGAUUUUUUUUGUUAUAAUGAAUAAUAAUGUUGUAUAUUUACUGUUGAAAUUUCUAAAAUAGAGAAACUGUUGGAGUUGGACCAUAAUAUUUUUUUAGAGAUUUUGACUUUUGCUUCUUAUAUAUUUUAGAUAAAUUUUAAGAAAGCUGCUCUUACAUCAUAAAUUCAUUGUAUUCGUUGCUCAUAAAUCAUUGUAUUCGUAGCUCAUAGUUUACAUAUAUUAUAGAGUUAGCAUAGUCGCUAACAUUCAUGGUAUACCAACUUAAAAAUGCAUGUGUCAUCCAAAAAAACUUAAAAAUGCAUGCGUCAACCAUGUGUAUGUUACCGCUGUUUUUUCGUUCUGAAUAAUUUGCAUUGUUGGAGGGUAAUUUGGUCCCGCCAAAAUAUUUACAAAACAAAACCUCCUCCUCUUCCGGCAUUUCGGACAAAGCGCAAAAAUGGCCGACGAAGAACUCCUGAAGAACGUCAACGACUCCACGAUCAACGCCACGCGUCACCAGCACGACACUCUCAGCUCCAUCCUCCACCAAAACGGCGCCGUCCGCUACCUCCACCCUCACCUCCCACUCCCCGAUUCCCGGCUCGACGCCGCCGCCUUCCGCGGCGCCGUACCUCUAUCAACCUACGACGACUACGCCGAUUACAUCACUCGAAUGGCCGAGACCUCACUCGAUCACCAACAGCCUCUCCUCUCCGUCGAUCCCCUCCUCUGCUUCUUCUACAGGUUAUUACUCAAUUCAUCUCCUUAAUUUUCGUAAUUUUCCGGAUUAAAAUAAUAAUCAAAGUUCGAUUCUUUGAUUUUGGGGUUGCUGAAGCUCCGGGACGAGCUCACCGAGACCGAAGCUGAUUCCUUACUUCGAUUCCAAGCUAUCGAAAGCGGCUUCGUUAAUAGCUCACCAAGGCAGUUAUGCGAUUCUCAGGAGGUAAAUUUUUUUAUUUUUUUAUUAUUUUUAAUUUGCUUGAUGCAGUAAAAAAUUCAAGGUAAUUUGGUUUGAUCUAAGAUGUUGAAGUUUGAAUUAGGUUGUUUCCUCCAAGGGACUCAGUGAAUAAGAUGAUGUGGUUUAUAUAUGGUGAUAAUGUAACAACUACUAGAGGUGGUGUUAAGGUCAUGGCUGCUUCUUCAUACCCUUUGCAGAGUCGUGGUGCCAAUUGGUCUCAGUUGAGAUUUAUAGUCAGUCCAAAGGAAGUCAUUCUUGGGUCUAAUGUUGAGCACCAAACGUAUUGCCACCUGCUUUGUGGGCUUAGGAACCGUGAUUUACUUGAUGCGAUUCGUGCCCCUUACGCUGUGGGAUUGAUCAGAGCGUUUAGGAUUUUAGAGUCAAAGUGGGAGCAGCUGUGUCGUGAUCUUGAAGAGGGGUUUCCGAGUUUGGAGAUUUCUGAUGGUGAGAUGAGGAACUCUGUUGUUGAGGUUCUUGGGGGGCCUCAACCAGAAUUGGCAGAGAGAGUUAGAGUUGUUUUUGAAGAACAGAAUUGGGGUGGGAUUGUGAGCAAGUUAUGGCCAAAUGUUCGGUAUGUUAGGUGUGUCACGACUGGAAGUAUGGAGCAGUAUUAUCCAAAACUUAAGUAUUAUGCUGGAGAGAUACCUUUGUUGGGUGGGGACUACUUUGCUUCCGAAUGCUGUGUGGGGAUUAACUUGGAUAUCAUGGAACCUCCCGAUAAAACGCGAUUCGUUUUGCUUCCAACUGCAGCCUAUUUUGAGUUUCUUCCAUUUGAUAUGAAUGAGGCUGAGGUUUCUACAGGUAGAGAAACUGUUGAUAUUGCUGGUGUUGAAGUGGGGAAGAUGUAUGAAGUGGUUGUCACUACUUACAGAGGAUUUUACAGAUACCUUUUGGGUGAUGUAGUGAGGGUUGUUGGUUUCUAUAAUUUAUCUCCACUAGUGGAAUUUGUAAUGAGAGCACCGAAAGGUCCUGGUGAGAUUAUAACUGAGAGGGACUUGAUGGCUGCAAUGCGAAGUGUCCAGCUUGUGUUUGAAGAUGUGAUGGCAACACAGAUUACAGAAUUUGCGAGUUUCUUGGACAUGGAGUUGACCCCUAAACAGUUGAAGGUGUUUAUAGAAGCUAGAGAGGGAAGCAGGCUUAUGCAGGAAGAGUCAGUUGUAGCUCUGAGGAGGUGUUGUUCCUCCCUUGAGGAUGGUUUGGGAGGCAUUUACAAGGUCCAGAGAGAUAGAGGUGAAGCAGGUCCUAUAAUGUUAUCUGUUGUAAAACCUGGUAGCUUUGAUAGACUGUCACAAGUGGCCAUUGCAAACGGAGCCUCUGCGAGUCAGUAUAAGCCACCCAAGAUCAUAAGAAAUCGUGAGAUUGUUCAUUUCCUUGAAGGAUCUACUCUUGUAACCAUAUCUUGAAAGCUUUCGGCAUGAUGAUACAUGUAUGAUUUCUCAUCUUGUACCCAAAAUUUCCACACUUCUAUAAUUGUACGUAGUUUUAAUUAAAUAGUACAUUCUUGAAAAAAUAGCGAAAUUCGAAGAGGGAUUGUAAUGUGUUUAAGAACUGGAGGGCUAAGCAAGGUAAUAAAUUAGCUUUUUCUAUCGAAGUUAAUUUAGUAGAUGUUAGACCUAGUUCUUGGUGUAUAGACACAGACUCACCUAUACAUGUUUGUAACUCUUUAUAGGGGUUCCAAAGCAGCAGGGGCAGGGAGCCAAGAAGAAGUGAGCUUAAGAUCCAUGUGAGGAAUGGCAUGAGAGUGGCUGUCAAGGACAUAGGGACAGUCAAGUUAGAAGUUAGGCCUGGUUUUUUUGUAGUCUUGAAUAAUGUUUAUUAUAUUCCUUCGAUGAGAAGGAAUUUGGUUUCAAUUAGUACUUUGGUUAAAGAACAAUAUUGUUUUUCAAUUGAUUCAGCUGGAAUAAAAAUCUCUCAUGGUUCCCAGUAUAUUGGUUCUGCUAGUUUGAAUGGUGAUUAUUGGUUAUUGAAAGAUAUUUCUUCUGCUUCUUUUGAUGUUUUGAUGAUUGAGAAUGGUUUGAAUGAUGAGAAUCAGAGUCAUGUUUUGACUGGUUUGAAAAGAAAGUUUUCUGAAAAUUCAGCUUAUUUAUGGCACAGGAGGUUAGGGCAUGUGUCUAAGGAUAGAUUAUAGCUACUGGUUAAACAGGGCAUUUUACCAAAAUUGGAUUUCAAUGAUUUGCUACUGUGUUGAAUGUGUGAAAGGGAAGUUUGCGCAAAAGAAAAAGAAAACUGCAGUAAGGAGUAGCAGUGUGUUGCAAUUGAUUCACACUGAUAUAUAUGGACCAUUUGCAAUACAAACCAUUUGUGCCAAUAGAUAUUUCAUAACCUUUAUUGAUGACUUCACAAGGUUUUGUCAUGUCUAUUUAAUUUCUGAAAAAUCUUAAGACCUGGAUAAGUUUAGAAUUUAUAAAGCUGAAGUUGAGAAAAAAUUGAAUGCAGUGAUUAAGGUUGUGAGAUCAAAUAGGGGAGGAGAAUAUUAUGGUAGACACACUAAGAAGGGACAACACAGGGUCCAUUUGCACUGUUUUUUCAAGAAAAUGGGAUUCAGGCUCAGUACACUGCACCAAGUACUCCUGAACAGAAUGGGGUAGUUGAGAGGAGAAACAUAACUUUUCUUAACAUGGUGAGGUGCAUGAAGUGCAUGAUGUGCACUUCAGGGCUUCCCAAAUCUUUGUAGGGGGGGGGGGUGGAGAAGCAUUGAAAACUGCCAAUUACAUCACUAAUAGAACCCCAACCAAGGCAGUGACAAAGACACCAUUUGAAUUAUGGAAGGGUAGAAAGCCUAGUCUGAUGCAUGCACAUGUGUGGGGGUGUAGAGCAGAAGCCAGAGCCUACAAUCCUAAAGAGUCCAAUUUGGAUUCGAAAACCAUUUCAGCCUUUUUCAUUGGUUACCCUGAGAAUUCUAGAGGUUUUAAAUUCUACUGCCCUUCUCAUACCAGUAGAACAAUUGAAACCAACAAAGCAGUGUUUUUGAAUGAGAUGGCUUUUAUAGAUAAGUUUGGUGAUUUUGUACUUGAAGAAUUGGCUGAGACUGAUUUGUGUGAUGUUGAUAUGCAUAUUGUGUCCGAGCCUACUGUAACCAUAUAUUCAUAUACCUUCAACUGAGAAUUAUGCAGAUGUCGUAGUGCCAAACCAAAAUGAAUUCCCAGUUGUGCAAAAUGCAGUAGCUCAAGAAAUGCCUAAUCUAAUAGUAGAGAAUGCAGUUGAAAAUGUUGUAGCACCACCAGAGCCUGUUUUGAGAAGAUCUCAGAGAGAGAGAAAGUCAGCCUUAGCCAAUCUAGCUGUAGACUACCAGAUUUAUUUGCAGGAAAUAGAGUUUGAUGUUGGUGAGUUGGAUGAUCCCACUACUUUUAAAGAAGCUAUUGAAAGCUCAAAUUCUCAAAAAUGGGAGGAAGCAAUGGUAUCUGAAUAAUUAAAAUCCAUGGAAGCCAAUGAUGUUUAGAAACUAGUUCAGUUGCCUCAGAAUGCAAAAACCAUAAGAUGUAAGUGGGUGUAUAAGACCAAAACCAAUGCCGAUGGAAGUAUAGAAAGAUUUAAAGCUAGGUUGGUAGCUAAGGGGUUUACACAACAAGAAUGGAUAGAUUAUAAUGAGACUUGUUCUCCUGUUUCUACAAAAGAUGCUUUCACAUUGAUUAUGGCUUUAGUAGCUCACUUUAAUAUGGAACUACACCAGAUGGAUGUUAGAACAGUUUUUUUUGAAUGGUGAGCUACAUGAGGAGAUUUUCAUGAAGCAACCUGAAGGGUUUAUAGAACCUGGAAUUGAGAAGUUAGUGUGUAAGUUGAAUAGAUCAAUUUAUGGUCUGAAGCAGGCAUCUAGGCAAUGGUAUUUAAAAUUUGAUGCAGUUGUUGGAAGUUUUGGCUUUAUCAGGUAGAUGAGUGUGUGUACAUGAAGACUGAGGGAAAAGAUUUUAUUUUUCUCAUUCUUUAUGUUGAUGAUAUUCUACUUGCUACUACCAGCUUGACGUUACUGAAAAAUACUAAAGAUUUCUUGUUGAAGAAUUUUGACAUGAAAGAUUUAGGUGAAGCUAGGUAUGUGCUUGGUAUUGAGAUUAAGAGAAAUAGAGCCAGCAGAGUUUUGGGAUUGUCACAGGAGGGAUAUGUCAGGAAGGUUCUGAAAAGAUUUGAUAUAGAGACUUGUUUAGCUAAUGAUGUUCCAAUGACAAAAGGUGAUAAGCUAAACAAGGAUUAGUGUCCCAAGAUUGAUUUAGAAAAGAAGAACAUGGAGGGUAAGCCUUAUGCACAGCUGAUUGGGAGUUUAAUGUAUGCACAUACAUGCACAUACAAGGCCUGACUUGGCUUAUGCAGUCAGAGUUUUAGCACUGUUUCAAUCCAAUCCUGGGCCUGAGCAUUGGAUUGGGGGGAAGAAGGUGCUAAGAUAUUUGCAGAAGACUAAGGCACAUAUGUUAGUUUACAGACAAGUGAAAAACUUAGAAAUUACUGCAUAUUGUGACUCAGAUUUUGCAUCUAAAUUUCCAUCCUCCAAUAAGUCCACCACCGGCUAUGUUUUUAUUUUAGCAGGAGAAGCAGUAGCUUGGAGAAGUGUAAAACAAGAACUGAUUUCCACUUCUACUAUGCAGACUGAAUUCAUUGCAAUUUAUGAUUCGGUGUGUGAAGGUGUUUGGCUGAAAAAUUUCCUGAUUCAAACAAGACUUGUUGAUAGCAUUUUGUCUAGGCCAAUGAAAUAUUUUUGUGAUAAUUAAUUUUGUUGCUGUGUACUUCACUAAAAAUAAUAAGAGGUCCAAUAAUUUUAAGCAUUUGGGACUUAGGUAUUACAGUGUGAGGAAAAAGGUGAAACAUGGUGAGAUUGAAGUUCUGCAAAUUGACACUUUAUUUCAGCUUGUAGACCUUUUUACCAAAGCCUUGACAACAGUGAGUUUUGAAGAACAUGCAAGGAGCAUUGGUAUUUUACCCGAUUUAGAUGCUUGAGGAAGUUAGAGAAUAGUGAGAGCAUGUUUUGUUUUAUUCAUUGUUCCUUGAUAAUUUUCUGUACUUAUUUCUGCAUAUUGAAAGUUUGGUAUUUUGCCACUUUCAUUUGAUUGCAAUAAAAUUUCAGUUCAGACUAUAUGAUUGCAAUGAUAUUUAUUUGAUUUCUGAAAUUCAUAAUAUGAAUACAAUGACAUGUUUUGCUUGGAUAUUUUAAAGCAAUUUUGCAUAUAUAUGAGAUGCAUAUAUGCUGCAUCAUUCUACAGGUUAAAGGAACACAGGAAUAUUUCUUUUGAAAUUUUGUGUUGAGGUUCUUGCAUACUGAACCAAGGAUUGAACUGCUUUGCUUAAGUGUUUGAUUAUUUCCAUUUUCAUCAGGAAACACUUUUGCAAUUCUAUUAUCUCUGAUUGGUCAUGUGUUAUAUUUAGAGUUGUGUUGGUGAUUUUCAAGUCGUUGAUGUGUUCAGUGAAUGCAAUAUGCUGGAAAUCCUGCAUACCUCUUGUGUAAUGACAGAUCAAUGGUAUUUGUAUUAACAUGUGUAUUGGUAAUCUCAAGUGCACAAAGGAACAAUGUUGUAUAUGAUCUUAUUAUAGAUUCUUGUUACAGAUUUGUAAUGCUAGUCCAAGUGGGACAAUGUUAGAAUGGACUUAGCAUUAUAAGUCCUAAGGUAUUACAACUUCUAUAGAAUAACAGAAUGAACAUUGUGAGAUUAUUAAUUGCAUUAUCAUGAUAUGUUUAUCUAAAUGAAAUAGUUAGAUAAACAAUGAAAUACAUUUGAAUUAUCUUGUAUAAUAAGAUAAUAGAUCGAGAUAGGCUAAUAUUGUGGUAUUUGUGUGGAACUCAAACUCUUUGAUGGUUAAGAGUUUGAGCUAUCCAAAAUGCAAUAUAAAAGGAGGUCCCUGUGCACACUCUAACAUACGCCAAAAAAACUAGUCUCUCUCCAUCAGAGCUUUGGUACUUGAGUGUUGCGCAGAAGAUCUCUUUUGGAAGUUUUUCCCACCUCUCUUCAUCUUGAUGGCUGCCCUCAACAUUGAGCAAGGUACUACUUCUGUUCCUUGAGUGUGUGUGUGUGUGUGUGUGUGUGUAUAUCAGUACAUGUACAUAUAUGUUGAUGUAUGUCUGAUGCCAUGAUCUGUGAUCUUGUUUAUGAUAAGUGUUUUGUCUUUGUGGUUUUAGUCUAAGAAAGAAGUCCAUCUCCACCACAUCAACGUCACUGACUCCAUCACAAUCUGCCAGAACCAACAUCGAGUUAUUGCGAACCAGUAGUCUCUCUUUCAGGUUUCAUACGGUAGAGUGCGUUCCCGCGAACGACGGUAGUGCCACUUCUUUCUCAGACAACAGCCGACUAGCCAAGCAAAAGAAAGAGUCACCAAUGGCGUCUUCUCCACCCGGAAUACGCACAAAAAGCUUUAUCAGAUGGAGGAGCGAAUACCGCCGCCUUUGUCAUCUCGUCGGAAAGGCACGUAUAGUUGGUCGGCUAGGGGAGGAAACCCUAGCAGAGCAAGAGACAAGUGUUUAUCUUUAGUUCUUCGACACCGUGUCUAAAUACAACCAGACCACGUGCAAAGUUAAUCUACUUAUGAUAAAGAUAAACAUAGAUAUAAUAUUUAGACAAAUAAGAAUAUCGAGCUUCAUUAUUUCCCUAUGUCCUGUUAAUCCUAGUGAAAAUUCAAUGUUUGCGGCCCAAACAUUCAAACAACGAAAUGAAACAAAUUUGAAGAUUACGAACUUCAUUCUCAAAAAAACUUGAAUUUCACAUGAAUUUGAUUAAACAUUGAAGCUCAUUUAUUUGUUUAUUUUUCUUUAAGAGAGAAGAAAUUGCAUAUGAACCCUAUAUUACAUAACUACAUAAUUCGACAUUAUCGAAAAAAAUAUUACUACAUAAUUCGAUCAUGAACUCAUGAUCAUGCACGAUCUGCUUCGUCCUCUUCUUCUUCAUCAACCUCGGUGAUGGGUUCUAAUUGGCUACUCCCGGCAACACUUAUCAGCCCUAGAUCUGAUGUCCCCACUUUCCUCAAACUAAAUAUAGGCCACUCGUCUCUGUCCAUCGUGGACAUUAUUCGCGGGAAAUUUCUAAACCUCUCUGUCCUUAACGACGUCGUUUCCGUCGAACCGCAGGAAACUCCAUUGCCGCAGAAACUCCGUCGCCGCAGAAACUCCAUCGCCGCCGUAAAAUAACCGCCGCCGCUCUCCGAUCCUACAGACUCGGAAUCGAAAUUACUACUCGAACCCAUGGCUUUACUACACAAAGAGUAUUCUCUCGAUUUCUGGAAUCGUUCUGUGAAUUUAUACUAGUCGAUCGCGUCGGUCCUUUUCUCACCGGAACUUGGAAUCACAAGCCUUUUCAUACACAACUAAUUAAACCAAACCGAAAGCGAAUUACACGGAGAUUAACAAUUCUAUUAAGAUUGAAAACCGAAUUUAAGUACAAUUAAGCGACUCUAUCUUCUUCUUCUUCGUCUUCUUGAUCAUGGUGACGUCACUGCUGCAGAAGAAGCGUUGGUCCCUCUCCUCCAUGGUAAUCAGCAGCCGGAAGCUCUCGCCGGUUGAGAUCCUCAGUUUCUUGAGCACGAACCUCGGCCGGCCGUCGCGGUUCAGCGUGGACAUGUACACCGGCGGGAAUUCUCGGCCGUCGGAAAUGACUACCUUUCUGGUGGUGGAAGCGGAGUACGACGAUCUUGAUUUUCCGGCGGCAUUGGAGUAGUGAAGUGGUGCUAGUGAGCCUGGCUCCUCCGCCGUGAAAUGAUCGCCGCUCUCUGAGCCUAUGAUCUCCGUGAUGUCGUUGCGCCAUGCGACGUCGUUUCGACGGGGUUUGAAUUUGAUGUGAUCGGAAAGAUCAAGAUCGAGGGUUGGAAAGAAUUUGAAUUGGGUUUGGGUAGAACCGAGAAGAUCGUCAAAGACUGAGUUGGAGGUCAUGGUCAAAAUCUCAAGCGGCUCCUGAUGGAUUUGGUAUUUAUAGCUUUUGCUUCACAAUGCAAUUCAAAUUCUUUUGUGACGGCCCAACUCUCUUGAGAUCAUUACUGAGAGGGAUUUUGUGUCUGCAAUGAAAAAAUUUCAGCUUCUUCUCGGAGAUGCGAAGGCAAAUGUGCCCUUGGCCUAAUGGAUUCGGGCGCAACUUGCGUUCAUGACUCGAUGGUUCACGGGAUUCUACAAUUCACACCAAGUAUUGUAUUUCACUACUUUCUUCAUCGAUGCGAGAGCCGAGAUAUCCGUUACGAGAGUCGUAUAGACAUAUUGAAGAGGGAAGCAUAUGCUUCUGCAGGAAGAGGUCUGAGGAGGUGUUGUUCCUCUCUUUAGGAUGGUUUGGGAAUUGGGAGGCAUAUACAAGGUGCAUGAUAGUAAUCUCCUAAUACACUAUUGUGAGCAUGAUUCUUGUAUCAUUUUCUAGAAUUCUGCAACCUUAAUUCUGUACUAGCUGUGGUUUAUGACUUUAUGUAUAGGUUGGCUUUUGAUUCUUUGUUUUGGUAAGAGGCAUUGUUAAUCUACAUUUGGAAUAGUAUCAGCUAUCCGGGUAAAAGAAAGCGAAAGAUAACGUCUAACAUUUCUUGUAACAAUUGAAAUACUAGUACUGUGACAAAUAGAUUCAGUUCAUUGUUGUAGAAAGGCAGUCUUUACUUGUUAAUGGAUGCUUGGAUUUGUUCCAGGGUUCUACCCUUUGUCUCAGGUACCAUCACAACUAUGAAUAUUAUGGCCAGAACAUUGAUCACUGCGUACAGAAUAAAGGUACCUGAAAAUCACACACUAGUUAAUCAACAGCUCCUAUAAACUUAUAAUGACACACUUCAGAAUCUGCAAAAACUCUAUUCCCAUGUCUUUUGUGCUUUAGGUCAACACUAUUUUCUAUUCCGGAAAUUCUGUGCUUCUAAUAGUGCAGUAAGCCAGUGAUUUCUGUUAUAGUGCAGAUUUUCAUUUCAAAUCCAUUACUUUCAUAAAAGAAGAAUUUUCAUGAAUAGAAGUAAGAAAGGAAAAUCUUAAUUCCAUUUACCGUAGGAGCUCCAAGUCAUAAGAAAGUUGAAAGUAUAGGAGCACAACCAUGCACCAAACCAGUUCACUAGAGUUGCAAAGCUUCCUGCCUGUCCUUUAAUAUUUAUAGGGAAAAUCUGCAGUAGAUAUAGCAGUUUCUUUAGAUUACUGUCAUGAUUAAUCAUGCACAGAUUAGUGAGUAAACUUUUCUACUGGCCUAAAACUCAUAUACCUCUGACAUUAUAACCCAUGGAACUGCUCCCAUUCCUAUCGAAAAGGAACCUAUGAAUACCUGAGACCAGAAACUAACUGUUAAAGAAAGCAAGGAGAAACAUAGAAAACUCAAUCUUAAAAAAGACCAAUCUACUUGGAUAAGACGCUUUUGACAAAGGCAAGUAAAAUACCAGUAUGCCGGUUACAGCAAGUAUGGGAACUGCCUUGGGUGACAGUUGAUGAACCUGGUUAACAAACGGCUUUCUUGUCAGUUUAUCGAUGGAUAGACUAUACAGAAGUCUAGACUGUACAGAAGUUUAUCCACGGCUUGUAGUUAGGGACAUAUUUUAGGAUUACCUUUAUAAAGAAUGAUAUGGCAGUCAGGCUGCAGCCAAGUAACAGACCUGUUGCAGAAAUCUAGAACAAAGUUGGAAAAAUGUUAAACCUUCGAAAUAUGAGGAGCUUGCCUCAAACUGAAACUGUUGCGCAAUAAUUUACCAAAAUAAGAGGCUUUCUUCCUGCUUUAUCCAUUAUGGCUGCACCUAUGGCAGUAACCACAACCUGUAAUACAGAACCACAUCAAGAUGCUUCUAAUGGAGAGAAAUUAGCAAUUCCAAGAUCUGUCACUUGAGGAAUUUAAGAACCUGAAGAACAGCGUAGAUUAUAGUUCCCAUGCUGGGAGAAAACCCUGAGAUAGUGCAAACAGAUUAUGCAAAUAUCAACUGUAGAACAAGAUUAUUUGAUUCAAGUGAACGUAUCAAUUUGCAUUCAGAAAGAUGAAAGAUAAAAGGAUGAUGUUGUCAUUACUAAGACUGUAGAUUUACAUAGCUAGUUUCAAGACGUACGCAAGCUAUCUCUUACAAUAGUGUUUGUACCUGCUUGCUCAAGAAUAUUGCUGACAUAGAAACAGACCCCAUUGAUUCCUCCCAAUUGUUGACAGAUCAUUAAGCCAACUGAUAUCUGAUAAAUAGUAAUCAUAGUAAUAGCAAACAGAAGUUAACUCAAACACAAAGAAAACUAAAGGGAGGGUACAAAAUGAUAUUGGGAGAAAUUAUUACAAUGAGAGAGCGUGAGUAUCUCCUCUCGAAUAGGUCCAGCAAUUUGGCUUUAGGAAGCCGGUCAAGAGUUGCUAUAUAAUCCUGCCAUGGCAUUAGUGGUGCUAAUUUACAUUCAUGAUCUUUCCAAUUGGCUAACAUAUAUUGUCAUUUAUAUGAGAUGCAGCUAUAGUAGGAGAUAAGAACCUGGAUUUCUUCUGCUUCUUUAGAUAUGUCAGCAUCUCUGCCGCGAAGUUUCUGCAGUGCAUCUUCAAAAUCUUUUUGGUUUCCUGUCUUUGCCUGUACUCACAAUGAGGUAAGUCUUCAUGUUUACAAAGUUACAAUUAGAUACGUAGAAACAGAAAAACAAAAGUUGCUUCUUACCAACCAUCUUGGAGACUCCGGAAUGAAAAAUAGACCGAAAAUGGUCACAGCGCAGGGAACGAGUCCUGUAAUCACCACAUAAAUGAGUCAUUUUCCACUAUAUUAGAAAGUUUAUGUGAUUAAACUACAAGCACCAAUUGUGUAAGAAACACACCAAUUAAUGCUAAAGUCCUCCAGCUUACUACUACCCCAAUUAUGAAGGACACUGACACUCCAGCAACAAUCAUUAACUGUAAAACGAAAAAUAAAGGGAAAAGAUCAGUUGAUUGUAGAAACAAUUGAAGCCCAUAUAUUUUGUUGUUGAAAUAAUUGGUAUCAUUUGUUUUCUCUUGCUUGCUUAGAAGAACAAAGCUAACUAACAAAUAUUGUUACUUUUCUUGCUUCAAGGUACCUGAUUCAAAGCCGUUAGAGUUCCUCGAAGAUGUUUGGGUGCAAUUUCAGCAACAAAAACAGGUACCUUUUCAUGCAAUCAAUAAUAUUGCAUCAAACUUUGUUAGUAUCAUGCGUUGAAACAGCAAUAAGUCUAGGGAAUAAAAUGUAAACUACUUGUAUAGUAUUCUCACCACGUAUGAAAAGGCUCCCAUUCCAUAUCCUUUUGCCAUUCUCCCGAUGUCCAAAACCACAGCUCCCUUUGAUCAAAAUAAGAUAUAGGACAAGAAGCUCAAAAUUCUGAGGAGACUGUAUUUCUUGGUAGGUAAUAUUAUAGAAAUAUUUCAAGAUUAACAUCAUACCAACCUCGGAAAAGUAGAUGGCAAGCCAUCCUGCAAGACAAACAAUACUGGAAAAUCUCAACGCCUGCAUACAAUUUCAUAGUUUAGAUGUUAGAUAGCGAAGAACAAUGGAAAUAGGUUACUGAAUAAGUGGUGUUUCCUAUAUGCAUAGCACAGAUUCCAACACGUACCCCUUUUCGACCAAUAAAAUCAGUGAUCGGCCCAAUUGUGAUAGCACCUAUCAUUGCACCAAAUGUCAAGAUGGAACCGAACAUUGCAAACUGCAUACGGAUUCACAGAAUGACGUCAGUAUGGAGGUCGUCAAUACUGUAAAUUCCAUUUUACUCUCAAUUUAUCUAUUCCAUUUCAGGAGUAAUUUUCUACAUUUUGUUUAUAGGAUCCGAACUUUGCAUCCUUAUGUGUGAAGAUUUCUUACUGUCCUGUAAUUGGGGACUGUAUUUCUCUUCCUUGUGAGAAGCAUAUGUCAGGGCUGUGUAGUUUUAGCUGUAUUAUUGGU
rnacentral:lncRNA from 1 species